AACCCCUAUUGUUAGUUGCCAUCAUUCAGUUGGGCACUCUAGCGAGACUGCCGGUAAUAAACCGGAGGAAGGUGGGGAUGACGUCAAAUCAUCAUGCCCCUUAUGACCUGGGCUACACACGUGCUACAAUGGUUGGUACAACGAGUUGCGAGUCGGUGACGGCGAGCUAAUCUCUUAAAGCCAAUCUCAGUUCGGAUUGUAGGCUGCAACUCGCCUACAUGAAGUCGGAAUCGCUAGUAAUCGCGGACUCAGCACGCCGCGGUGAAUACGUUCCCGGGCCUU
rnacentral:rRNA from 1 species